rnacentral:miRNA from 1 species
GUGGUGAUUUUCCCACUCCAAUUUUAUCCACUUACAUUCUAUUUUAUAACUGAAAAAAAGAGUGUAAGUGGAUAAAAUUGGAGUGGGAAAAUCAUUAC